rnacentral:rRNA from 1 species
GGUUAAGCGACUAAGCGUACACGGUGGAUGCCCUGGCAGUCAGAGGCGAUGAAGGACGUGCUAAUCUGCGAUAAGCGUCGGUAAGGUGAUAUGAACCGUUAUAACCGGCGAUUUCCGAAUGGGGAAACCCAGUGUGUUUCGACACACUAUCAUUAACUGAAUCCAUAGGUUAAUGAGGCGAACCGGGGGAACUGAAACAUCUAAGUACCCCGAGGAAAAGAAAUCAACCGAGAUUCCCUCAGUAGCGGCGAGCGAACGGGGAGCAGCCCAGAGCCUGAAUCAGUGUGUGUGUUAGUGGAAGCGUCUGGAAAGGCGCGCGAUACAGGGUGACAGCCCCGUACACAAAAAUGCACAUGCUGUGAGCUCGAUGAGUAGGGCGGGACACGUGGUAUCCUGUCUGAAUAUGGGGGGACCAUCCUCCAAGGCUAAAUACUCCUGACUGACCGAUAGUGAACCAGUACCGUGAGGGAAAGGCGAAAAGAACCCCGGCGAGGGGAGUGAAAAAGAACCUGAAACCGUGUACGUACAAGCAGUGGGAGCACGCUUAGGCGUGUGACUGCGUACCUUUUGUAUAAUGGGUCAGCGACUUAUAUUCUGUAGCAAGGUUAACCGAAUAGGGGAGCCGAAGGGAAACCGAGUCUUAACUGGGCGUUAAGUUGCAGGGUAUAGACCCGAAACCCGGUGAUCUAGCCAUGGGCAGGUUGAAGGUUGGGUAACACUAACUGGAGGACCGAACCGACUAAUGUUGAAAAAUUAGCGGAUGACUUGUGGCUGGGGGUGAAAGGCCAAUCAAACCGGGAGAUAGCUGGUUCUCCCCGAAAGCUAUUUAGGUAGCGCCUCGUGAAUUCAUCUCCGGGGGUAGAGCACUGUUUCGGCAAGGGGGUCAUCCCGACUUACCAACCCGAUGCAAACUGCGAAUACCGGAGAAUGUUAUCACGGGAGACACACGGCGGGUGCUAACGUCCGUCGUGAAGAGGGAAACAACCCAGACCGCCAGCUAAGGUCCCAAAGUCAUGGUUAAGUGGGAAACGAUGUGGGAAGGCCCAGACAGCCAGGAUGUUGGCUUAGAAGCAGCCAUCAUUUAAAGAAAGCGUAAUAGCUCACUGGUCGAGUCGGCCUGCGCGGAAGAUGUAACGGGGCUAAACCAUGCACCGAAGCUGCGGCAGCGACGCUUAUGCGUUGUUGGGUAGGGGAGCGUUCUGUAAGCCUGUGAAGGUGUGCUGUGAGGCAUGCUGGAGGUAUCAGAAGUGCGAAUGCUGACAUAAGUAACGAUAAAGCGGGUGAAAAGCCCGCUCGCCGGAAGACCAAGGGUUCCUGUCCAACGUUAAUCGGGGCAGGGUGAGUCGACCCCUAAGGCGAGGCCGAAAGGCGUAGUCGAUGGGAAACAGGUUAAUAUUCCUGUACUUGGUGUUACUGCGAAGGGGGGACGGAGAAGGCUAUGUUGGCCGGGCGACGGUUGUCCCGGUUUAAGCGUGUAGGCUGGUUUUCCAGGCAAAUCCGGAAAAUCAAGGCUGAGGCGUGAUGACGAGGCACUACGGUGCUGAAGCAACAAAUGCCCUGCUUCCAGGAAAAGCCUCUAAGCAUCAGGUAACAUCAAAUCGUACCCCAAACCGACACAGGUGGUCAGGUAGAGAAUACCAAGGCGCUUGAGAGAACUCGGGUGAAGGAACUAGGCAAAAUGGUGCCGUAACUUCGGGAGAAGGCACGCUGAUAUGUAGGUGAAGUCCCUCGCGGAUGGAGCUGAAAUCAGUCGAAGAUACCAGCUGGCUGCAACUGUUUAUUAAAAACACAGCACUGUGCAAACACGAAAGUGGACGUAUACGGUGUGACGCCUGCCCGGUGCCGGAAGGUUAAUUGAUGGGGUCAGCGCAAGCGAAGCUCUUGAUCGAAGCCCCGGUAAACGGCGGCCGUAACUAUAACGGUCCUAAGGUAGCGAAAUUCCUUGUCGGGUAAGUUCCGACCUGCACGAAUGGCGUAAUGAUGGCCAGGCUGUCUCCACCCGAGACUCAGUGAAAUUGAACUCGCUGUGAAGAUGCAGUGUACCCGCGGCAAGACGGAAAGACCCCGUGAACCUUUACUAUAGCUUGACACUGAACAUUGAGCCUUGAUGUGUAGGAUAGGUGGGAGGCUUAGAAGUGUGGACGCCAGUCUGCAUGGAGCCGACCUUGAAAUACCACCCUUUAAUGUUUGAUGUUCUAACGUUGACCCGUAAUCCGGGUUGCGGACAGUGUCUGGUGGGUAGUUUGACUGGGGCGGUCUCCUCCUAAAGAGUAACGGAGGAGCACGAAGGUUGGCUAAUCCUGGUCGGACAUCAGGAGGUUAGUGCAAUGGCAUAAGCCAGCUUGACUGCGAGCGUGACGGCGCGAGCAGGUGCGAAAGCAGGUCAUAGUGAUCCGGUGGUUCUGAAUGGAAGGGCCAUCGCUCAACGGAUAAAAGGUACUCCGGGGAUAACAGGCUGAUACCGCCCAAGAGUUCAUAUCGACGGCGGUGUUUGGCACCUCGAUGUCGGCUCAUCACAUCCUGGGGCUGAAGUAGGUCCCAAGGGUAUGGCUGUUCGCCAUUUAAAGUGGUACGCGAGCUGGGUUUAGAACGUCGUGAGACAGUUCGGUCCCUAUCUGCCGUGGGCGCUGGAGAACUGAGGGGGGCUGCUCCUAGUACGAGAGGACCGGAGUGGACGCAUCACUGGUGUUCGGGUUGUCAUGCCAAUGGCAUUGCCCGGUAGCUAAAUGCGGAAGAGAUAAGUGCU